rnacentral:lncRNA from 1 species
GUCAGUAUCAACCAUAUAAAUGCACACGCACAUAUCAUCCCCACACUAAAUUGUGAUGAGGUUGCCACUGGUUAUCUACUAAGACAUCAUGUUUGCUGGCAGGAGAGUUUUUCUGAGUGUUUCAGAUGUGAGAUUUCUGUUAUUUGAGAACUGUAGUAGAGAAAGUGAGUUUUUGUGCGUUCUUGCAUUUCAGAUGUCAGACUAUUACGUGUCUCGUUAUUAGAUCAUGCUGAGGACAAAUGAAUAAAACCAUGAACACCUGAUUAACUAUAGAACCCGGUGAACAAAAACAAAUGAUUCAGGUAUAUCUAUAGAGCAUAUUUACAUGUACCCCUAAAAAAAUUGCAUUCACACCUUAAUCUUGCACCUGACCAUAAUAGCUUUUAUGUCAAUGCAUGAGUUCUAUUUAACAGAGGAUGACAGAAAUUCUAUUGAUAUAAUUAGUAACUUAACAUCAAAAGCAUACAAAAGGAGUUAGUACAACACAUGCCUAUUCCGUCAAAACUUACAAUGAUCUGCGAGCUGACCACAUUGUGUCAUGAUACAUAGAUAAGACGUGUAAUUAAGCAUGCACCGUACAUUAAACUGCACAUACAUGCAAACAUACACAUUCAGCGCUGGGUAUACUACCAUUUUUGCUGGAUGAAGUAGCAGUAUUUCUGUUUAUUUCUUACGUUAUCCUAUUCCGUCCCCGCUGCAGGCACACUUUGCACACUGUUUUUUGACAUCACCAUGAUUAGAAGCAGAAUAGACAAUCAUUUGGAAACGUAAAGAUUAGACUGAAAGAAGAUUCACAUGUAAAUUAUUCGUACCUUCACUGGGAGACAUUUUUCUGUAUUGGCUGAUCAAUUUUCAAAAGAUUUCGUCUCUAACCUGAUAUAGUUAAUGAUGUUAGAAUAAUUGAAAAAAUUAUGGCAGUGUGAUGCCCAACAAAAAAUCUGUUCAUCUAUUAUGCUUCCCUCUCACCUCUGUACGUGAGAUAAAAUAAAUUGGACGUGAGAUGUGGCAGCUUGUCGCACACUCUUCUGCUUUCCUCCCACCUCUGUAACCUUCACCACCACAUAAGAAACACGGUGAGAAGAGGGACGGAGUGUAGUGAUGCAGAGAGAGAUACACACACAUAGAUGUGGUGUUGGAGUGUGCUGCCGGAGCGAGGAAGCACACACGCUAGAGGCCCGUACCUGGAGAGAUCAAGGUCGUGCAGCCCCGUCGGUUGCCAAACAGGUCGUCGAUCGCUCUCCCCGCCAUUGGCCGGACCGGCUGCCGCUCGCGCCGCCCCUCCGUUGGCCGGACUGGCCCUCGCUCACGCCGCGCUGCNNNNNNNNNNNNNNNNNNNNNNNNNNNNNNNNNCCCCGCCGGUGGCUAGAUCGGCUACGGCUCACGCUCAAUGGGAGGGCAGGGGCGGCUAGGGUUCGAGGGGAGGGCAGGGGUGGCUAGGAUUAGAGGAGAUUUGGGGAAAAUGUACAAACAGGAGCGGCUGUGGUGUGGGCGUGUGGUAAUCUGCGGCCUUGACGAAAAUACUUUCGUGUCAUUUUGUGUUGUGCGGUGCGGGUGUGUGGUUGUGUCCUGUGGUGAUAAAAAUACCGUCAUGUGAAGCGGGCAAAAU